UAUUAAUAACUGCAAUGCUUUAAUUUGGAGUUAAAGUUGUUUAUAUUUAUUGUAAUUUAUAAUUGGUAAACAGCAGUUAGAUGAUGUCACUUCCGCUAAAUGACUUCCUGUUGGUUGACUUCCGGUAUUUGUUCGAAAGCUAGAGACACAUUUUGUUGUCUUCUGUAGAACUUUCUGUUGCCAUCCUACACAAAUUGGCGAAGAAGCAAUGCCUUUUUCACCAUAUUGUCUAUGAAGAAUUGUCAAAAGUAAAUGGUCAAGCUUA